GGAGCAACGCCGCGUGAGUGAUGAAGGUUUUCGGAUCGUAAAGCUCUGUUGUUAGGGAAGAACAAGUACCGUUCGAAUAGGGCGGUACCUUGACGGUACCUAACCAGAAAGCCACGGCUAACUACGUGCCAGCAGCCGCGGUAAUACGUAGGUGGCAAGCGUUGUCCGGAAUUAUUGGGCGUAAAGGGCUCGCAGGCGGUUUCUUAAGUCUGAUGUGAAAGCCCCCGGCUCAACCGGGGAGGGUCAUUGGAAACUGGGGAACUUGAGUGCAGAAGAGGAGAGUGGAAUUCCACGUGUAGCGGUGAAAUGCGUAGAGAUGUGGAGGAACACCAGUGGCGAAGGCGACUCUCUGGUCUGUAACUGACGCUGAGGAGCGAAAGCGUGGGGAGCGAACAGGAUUAGAUACCCUGGUAGUCCACGCCGUAAACGAUGAGUGCUAAGUGUUAGGGGGUUUCCGCCCCUUAGUGCUGCAGCUAACGCAUUAAGCACUCCGCCUGGGGAGUACGGUCGCAAGACUGAAACUCAAAGGAAUUGACGGGGGCCCGCACAAGCGGUGGAGCAUGUGGUUUAAUUCGAAGCAACGCGAAGAACCUUACCAGGUCUUGACAUCCUCUGACAAUCCUAGAGAUAGGACGUCCCCUUCGGGGGCAGAGUGACAGGUGGUGCAUGGUUGUCGUCAGCUCGUGUCGUGAGAUGUUGGGUUAAGUCCCGCAACGAGCGCAACCCUUGAUCUUAGUUGCCAGCAUUCAGUUGGGCACUCUAAAGGUGACUGCCGGUGACAAACCGGGAGGAAGGUGGGGAUGACGUCAAAUCAUCAUGCCCC
rnacentral:rRNA from 2 species